rnacentral:rRNA from 1 species
CCUACGGGUGGCAGCAGUGGGGAAUAUUGCACAAUGGGGGAAACCCUGAUGCAGCGACGCCGCGUGAGUGAAGAAGUAUUUCGGUACGUAAAGCUCUAUCAGCAGGGAAGCAAAUGACGGUACCUGACUAAGACGCCCCGGCUAACUACGUGCCAGCAGCCGCGGUAAUACGUAGGGGGCAAGCGUUAUCCGGAUUUACUGGGUGUAAAGGGAGCGUAGACGGCAGCGCAAGUCGGAAGUGAAAUCCCAUGGCUUAACCAGGGAACUGCUUUGGAAACUGUGCAGCUGGAGUGCAGGAGAGGUAAGCGGAAUUCCUAGUGUAGCGGUGAAAUGCGUAGAUAUUAGGAGGAACACCAGUGGCGAAGGCGGCCUGCUGGACGACAACUGACGGUGAGGCGCGAAAGCGUGGGGAGCAAACAGGAUUAGAUACCCGGGUAGUC